rnacentral:rRNA from 1 species
GUGGGGAAUAUUGGACAAUGGGGGCAACCCUGAUCCAGCCAUGCCGCGUGAAUGAUGAAGGCCUUCGGGUUGUAAAGUUCUUUUGGAGGGGACGAUGAUGACGGUACCCUCAGAAUAAGCUCCGGCUAACUUCGUGCCAGCAGCCGCGGUAAUACGAAGGGAGCUAGCGUUGUUCGGAAUUACUGGGCGUAAAGGGCGCGUAGGCGGUUUGGUUAGUCAGAUGUGAAAGCCCAGGGCUUAACCCUGGAACUGCGUUUGAUACUGCCAAGCUUGAAUUCGGGAGAGGUGAGUGGAAUUCCCAGUGUAGAGGUGAAAUUCGUAGAUAUUGGGAAGAACACCAGUGGCGAAGGCGGCUCACUGGACCGACAUUGACGCUGAGGCGCGAAAGCGUGGGGAGCAAACAGGAUUAGAAACCCGAGUAGUCC